UAGCUGGAGAGGAACAAAAAGAGUUAACUUGUCGACAAUUAUUUAAAAGAGAGAUAAAAAAAGAAAAAGUUUGAAGAAAAGAGCGUGCAAUGUCAAAAAUCAUCAAAGCAGCAGCACCUGUGCGCUGUAGUUUGCGUUCAUCCCUCAAAAGUUGUGGAUCUUCCACUCUCUUGUGCGGGCCAAAUCUGGGAUGUUUUGGAUUUUUGACAUGCCAGGGAGGGAGGAACAAGUGGGAGAUGGACAGGUGGAAAGCACUUGCUGCAGAGUAAACACAGAUUUCUUGCUCUGAGAGUUUAACCAGCCUCUACACAAGGAAAAAUGCAAUAACUGGAAAUUCGCGUAAAGUUGACAGAGAGCCUGUUCGACUUUCUCCUGACGGGUGCACGCAAUACAAAACAGAGUCAACGUUUGUCGCGCAGCUUGAUGACUCCUGUUCUAAAAAUCGCUCAAACACGAGCCUGCAAAAAAAAGCACAAAAAUGAGACCCCGUAAGUGAGUUUUAAAAGUGUACCUGAAGUUGGAAAACAUUUAUGUAAACUUUAAAAAGCAUUGCUUUAUCUAGAUUUUUUAUUAUUAUUAUUAUUUUUUUUUUAAAGGUGAGAAAACAAUUUAAGCUAUGUCCUUGCGCUCAGCUCCCAGCUUUAAUUAUAGAUAAAGGAGGUCAGCCAGGAGCGGUUACCCGACCCCUCUCCCUGUGUGGCACCGCGCCCUUUGCAGUCAAACUCGCCAAAAUAGUGCCGGACUCCCCCGAAAGUGCCAUGUGCGCCCAAGUUCCUUUCUCCCCUUCCCUCCCACGCUGCCGCACCUGAGUUGUUUUUACCCCCCACAUCGCGGAUAUGUUGUGAAUUUGUCACUUAUCGGGAGCACGGGCUCGUCAGCACCGCAGCACUAACUUUCAGCCAUGCCAACUCUGAACGUUUCUCAGCUGAGAGGCGCAAAGCACGUCUGCCCACACACACAGAGACUAAUCAGUACAUGGCAAACACUGACCUUUGUGGGUGAAGCUGCAAGCUUUAACUAGGUCAUUAAGUGUCCAUUGAUUUACAUUAUUCAAAAUGACAGCACAUAGACUUAUUGUGUAAGAUUUACAAAUAUUUAGAAUGUGCUCAGUUCUGACUUAUAACUAAUGCUAAAUAUGUAUUUUACUGGGACUCAUUUUGGGAUAACCAACAUAAGGUACUAAUGCAAGGAAUGGAAAUGACAGAAAAUAUUUAAAUAGAAAUCUGUAGUGUGGUGUGAAUUUAUGUCCAACCCCUAUAUUCUCGUUCCCCACAAAUAAAAUCCUAAAAACAGCUUGUCCUAAAAAUCCACCUUAUCAAACGGAGUCCGCCUGUCAUUGAGUUCAUGUCAGUAUACCUACUGCUGGUCCCUUACGACCUUGGAGGUUCAUUAGACAGGCACUCGGAUCCAAAACUUUUUUUUUUUUUUCUGCCAACGUACGAAACUUUAGUCCUGGUCUAAAAUACCCAGAACACUGUCAUCAUGACUAAACACAGUAGUGGCAGCAUUAUAAUGUGGGGAUGCUUUUCUUUUGCAGUCAGUCCAAAAAUACUGGAAGAAAUCAAUCCUGCCAGAGGCUGCAAAAGACUGCAGAAUAAACAUGUAGCCAGACCAAAGCAUGUUCAAGAGUUAGAAUGGUCCAGUCAAAGUCCUGACUAAAAUUUGAUUUCGAAUAUGUAAGGCUCAGAUAUUGUUGUUAUCAAAUGCUUCUCUGUCUAGAUUGACUGAGCUUGAGCUAUUUGGGCAACAAUUCCAGUGUCUAAAAGAUAUCCUAAAAAAUAACAGCAGCUGUAGUUACAGGAAAAGCAGUUCGACAAGGUGUUGGGAACUUAACAUAAAUGUAUGGAUGUAACACUUCUCAAGAUAUUUGAAAACCAAAAAAAAAAAAAAGAAAAAAUCAAAAAUCAUGCAUCCUUUUAAUUUCUUUUUGCAAUUGUCCUCUACUUUGUGUUGGUCUAGCACGUUAAAUUCCAAUAAAAAAACAACUUGUAUCUCUUUUGUUCUUUGCUUUCUGAUUUCCUCUCAAGUAAAUUUUGAGCUUGUCGACCCGUGUUCUACUUUCAGCCUUUCUAUCGUUGAGUUCCUAAAAUUGGUCGACUUCGAGACAGAUAGUGGAAUGGAUCUUGAUUUAUCCCAUUAAUUUUCAACGUCAUUGGCCUGGCUGAUAUCGCAGAGUCCGAUCUGUGUGCUGUGAGGUGCUCUAGAAGGAAGAGGAGGAAAGCAACAUGGAGGUGGCUGAGCUUGCUGACUGAAUUGAUAAAUCCUCCACUCCACCGUGAUGAUCACGACGAUGGCUGUUUAUCCUUUUAAAGUUGAUGCUGUAUCAGUGUUUUUUUUUGUUUGUUUAUUUUUGGAUAAUUUACCAUGGAGCAAAGCAGGAAAAGUGGGAAUAAUGGCCUCUAAACAUGCUUUAAUGGAAAAGAGGUGUGAACGUAUCAUUUACCCUGCAGACAGAGGUACACAGAGAAGCCAAAGAGUAGCCUGAGACUGCCAUUUGAAUGGGAUCCGAGACGUAAUUUGAUCUAAAAUGGAGUCCAGUCAUUCACCCUCCUCCCUCUCUCCCAUGGCAUCAACUGUAAUUCAUUAUUCCUGGCCGGCACAGGCAAUGAGCGAGGGCAAAGGACAGGAGUGGACUCUGCUCUGGUGUAAUGAAGACUCAGUAGACCUAAACGGCCCCCUUCCUCACUUUCCUCCCCUCUCUCCCUCCAUCACUUAUACAUACACGCAAUCUUUCAUUAUCUAUCAGAGGGAGCAGCACAUUAAUGCUGCCGAAGACCUUUUGGUGGAGAAAUAAGAGUGUGCAAGGAUUUUCUCCACUCUCAAUCUAUUUCAUUGACCUUUUCCAUCAUGCAUGUAACUCGGCUUGCUCGCUGCAGCGCCAGUUAAAUAUUCCAACAAUAAUAUUCCUGCUGCCACUUAAUAAUGCAUCUUUUUCAAAUGCAAAAAUGUAUGUCCAUCAGACUUUAAGGAAAUUAUAUAUAAAUCUUUUAAGUUAUCAAUGUGCUUUCUUCACUCGGACAUGCAAUUUUAACACUUUAGAGCUUAUUUUCUCAGAUUACAGAAGAGCACUCAUUUUAUGAUUUAUAAAGACAAAGAACACUUGCAUUAUCAAAAAAAAAAAAAAUGUUGAAGAACUGCUGGUUUGAGAAAGCUUUUUAAGACAUUUCAGUUCCUUGUCCCUCCACUAGGGGUCCACAUAUGUCUUGUCCAGACUGGCUGAGAGGAAAAAUACUGUCAUCUGGUGGUAACAGGAAAGACAAUUUCUUCACUUUAUUUGGAGGAAAAACUUCCUUAUAUGUAGUUUGUGCUUUAUUGCAAAAACAUCUUUAGAUGUAUUUUGAGAAGUUCUCAAAAGCACGGUGGGUUAAAAGAAAAAUUGUAGAGUGGAAGGUUUUCAAGAAAAGGUCACAAAUAUGACUAAAGCUGAUUUAAAGCAUUUUUUAAAUUAACUUACUUUUUAAAACUUACUUGAAGUGACUUAGAAUGCACACUUAAUAAUGUGUGAGUUGUAAGAGUUGAGUUGUUUUCCACAUCUUUUAUAUAUGUUUAGAUAAAACAUGUUUUAUAUAAAUAUGAAAGUAUGCCUACGGAGUUUAGUACACACGUUCUGGAUACUUAGUUUUUACUUUACCCCAAACUAGAUGUGACACAAGGGAGAGAAAAAAAAAAAUUAAGCUGGGGA